rnacentral:rRNA from 1 species
AACCCGCGGACGGCACAUGAUACUGCGAGACUAGAGUAAUGGAGGGGGAACCGGAAUUCUCGGUGUAGCAGUGAAAUGCGUAGAUAUCGAGAGGAACACUCGUGGCGAAGGCGGGUUCCUGGACAUUAACUGACGCUGAGGCACGAAGGCCAGGGGAGCGAAAGGGAUUAGAUACCCCUGUAGUCCUGGCAGUAAACGGUGCACGCUUGGUGUGCGGGGAAUCGACCCCCUGCGUGCCGGAGCUAACGCGUUAAGCGUGCCGCCUGGGGAGUACGGUCGCAAGAUUAAAACUCAAAGAAAUUGACGGGGACCCGCACAAGCGGUGGAGUAUGUGGCUUAAUUCGAUGCAACGCGAAGAACCUUACCUGGGCUUGACAUGUAAUGAACAACAUGUGAAAGCAUGCGACUCUUCGGAGGCGUUACACAGGUGCUGCAUGGCCGUCGUCAGCUCGUGUCGUGAGAUGUUUGGUUAAGUCCAGCAACGAGCGCAACCCCUGUUGCCAGUUACCAGCACGUGAAGGUGGGGACUCUGGCGAGACUGCCCAGAUCAACUGGGAGGAAGGUGGGGACGACGUCAGGUCAGUAUGGCCCUUAUGCCCAGGGCUGCACACGUACUACAAUGCCCAGUACAGAGGGGGCCGAAGCCGCGAGGCGGAGGAAAUCCUGAAAACUGGGCCCAGUUCGGACUGUAGGCUGCAACCCGCCUACACGAAGCCGGAAUCGCUAGUAAUGGCGCAUCAGCUACGGCGCCGUGAAUACGUUCCCGGGUCUUGUACACACCGCCCGUCACAUCAUGGAAGCCGGUCGCACCCGAAGUAUCUGAAGCCAACCGCAAGGAGGCAGGGUCCUAAGGUGAGACUGGUAACUGGGAUGAAGUCGUAACAAGGUAACCGUAA